AAAUUGAACUAGAGAAGGAAAUGGCAAAGCACUCCAGUAUUUCCUCCAAGGAACCCCCCCAUGGGGUCACAAAGAGUCAGACAUGGCCGAGAUAACCAAACGAUAACAAAGAGUCCACGUCGGGUCACAUUCAGCCCUGGAAAGUACCGAGUGAAAGUUGCUUCCUCUCCCUUAUAGAGAUUACAUUCUCUUUUAAAGAAGUAAAUGUUUGUUUUUAUCACUCCAUAUUUCCCUCUCGUAGAGAACCAUCACCUACAACAGAGAAUGAAAAAGAUCCGAAAAAACAGUUCAGCCAAACCGGGGAAAUGGCGCCGGCCCCCCCACGCCUGGGCAGCUGGGCGCUCGGCGGCUGGCAGAGAGCUUUCUCCCUGGGAUUACCCAGAAGGCCCCUCCAGGUUAUUCCCGGGGGAGGAUGCUAGACAGAAGCCGCUAGAAUGGGACUCUCAGCUUCCUCCUUUGCGGCUCCUGCCGGAUCUACGCCACGUUCUCUUGGUGUCUGUGGAAGCCGAGUCAGGACACGGCUGAACACCAGAGGAAGGGGGUUCUUUCCUCCUGGGUUUCUCAGCACUGCCCAAAUGUCCCCAGAAAAGGCAAAGGAUUCUGCAUUUCCUCUUGCCAUCUGCAGCAUAAUUCUAACUGGCGUUUAGCUAGUGAGCCUCACAUGUGUGAAGAUGUCCCGCUCUCGUGCCAUUUUACAGAGCAGGAAAUCAGAGUCCUUGCCCAGGGUCGCCCAGGUAAGAGGUAGGAAGUAGGGUCUUUCAGACUCCCAGACCUGCUCUCCCCACUGCCCCCAGUCCGGCACCCUCCGCCCGGUGAGCUUCCCUGCACGAGCAGCCCGCCUUUCUUGGUUCAUUUUUGCACCACCUUUAUUUCCGAAUAUAUCCUUCUCCUACCCAACAAGCCCUUCCUUGUAACAAAGAAUGUUUUUUUUUUUAAAUAACACAAUUAACUGAUUUGUUCUCUCACUUCUGCAAAGAAAAGAGGGAAGUACCUUUUCUCAUCUCUUCCCCCGGGCCAAGUUUGCUCGUUAUAAUUACAUUUGUUCGUGUAUUUCUUCGAUGAUAUUCUUCGUAUCGCUUCUUCUCCAUAAUUGAGCCAUUGGCUCGCAGGAGUGGAGCGUGAAGGCAGGGAAGAGGCCCUCAGCUCCAGGCCUUUUGUUUUUCGGGGGAGGAAAGGGAACUCCUUGGCCCAGGGUCCCAGCGGCCUUUGUAAGGAGGGGCCGCCCUCCCUGGGCCCCUGCACCGCCUUCUGGGUCACUCACCGUGUCAGUCUCCUGUGCUCCAUGACUCAGGCCUAACACGCGUUCUCUGUCUCUGCCCCACUUGCCCCCCAGAAGCAGCCACGGUCCGGCCUCCGCCCUGGCACCCGCCCGGCCCGGUGUGGCAGCUGGUGUUGUGAAUCAGGCCGUCGCCAGUCUGAGAACGGCUACUUCACAACACCAGGGUCACCCCCUGCCAAAGUCGUCGACCGGGAGCCGAAGGUGCCGUCUGCGAGGGACGAGGAUGCGGCCCUGGGUUCCUGCCCGGCUUCGCCCGGACACCUCCAGCUCCUGCACCCGGAGCACGGGAACAAGGCUGGCCACUCUCUGCUGGUCCCCAAAGCCUUCCGCGUUUAAGUAAGAACAUGAGUGGCUCCGGCGGCCUCGGGGGGAAAUGGCCCCCUGGAAGGGGAAAGCACAGCAAGCUUCGGGCGGGGGGGAGGGGGAGCUCUUAAAUAUGGGUGCAAGGGACCAAACAAGGGUCGUUCAUACUGGGGCGGUCACAGGGAGACGGGAAAAGACAAGGGGCAAACUGUGACUCGGUUUCCCCAUUUGUCGAAGGAAGCCCUUACUCCGGAGCUGGUCGUCCAGUCCGACAGCCUCCUCUCCCUCGUUCCUGAGGGACAGGACAUUUAAAUAUAUCUGAGCCAAGAUUUUUCCUGGGGGCUCUGUCUAGUGCUCAGCAUGCCACCUGGCAUGCAGCAUGUGCUUAAUAAGUGCUCGUGGCAGUUCCAAAUCCCAUCACACGCAUACGCCAGCCCCGUUCCCAGGCCAGGACCCCUCCCAAAUCCCAGCUGGUGCUCCCAACUAUUGGGGUCAAGGAAGUGAGUUACCGGGAUGGGAAUCAGCCCUUCUCUGCCAGCUGCGACCCGGAAAUAGUCAGUUUGCUGACGGAUGGGCUGUCACUGCCUCUGGGCUCCGGCCCCGAGUGAUGGACCGAACCAGGACCUGGACUCGGCCCUCCAUGGUUCUGCUGUUUUCCUGCCAGCCCUAAAUUUUAGGGGCUUCUCUGCUGCCAUUUUGGAUGAGACAAAGCCGUUCCCUGAGCAAACCCCAGCCCAGGAGGUUUCUGAGAAAGACCGAAGGUGCUCUCUCCCCUAGCUCGCUGCAAUGAGAUAAUAGCAUUGUCCUGAUGAACGAAGCAUUUAUUAAGCACUUAGUGUAUGCAGAGCACCCAGCUGAAGUGGGGAUUUUACAAAGUGAAAAGUAAGGCCGUCACGAGCCGUGUAGCAGGGGAGAGAGGAGGCCGGAGCUCAGGUCCCACGGUCAGCUCUCAUCUCCUGUGCCAUUGCCUCUGAUGAGGGCAUUUCUGCCUCUGCGGGGGGGCCGAGGACCAGAACCUUCCUUUCUGGGCCCUGGGAAGCUGUGGCGAUUCCCCGGUCUGGCUGCCAGGAUGGCCCUGGCCCGGGCUGGGCUUGCGGCGACUCCUCCGGCUUUUGCAUCCAUCGUCUGAGCCGUUCCCCAGGGUCCGAGGGAAGAUGCUGCCCCGUCUCUCUCCCAGGGGCCUCGCUGCUUCAGCAAAGCUGCUGUUUGUGUGCGAUCAGUGGGGUGAAGGGGACUUUCGGCCUGGCCGGUCUCCCGGUUUCUGGGACUCUCAUGUCUGUCUGCAGAAUGUCCUGGAGAAUGUCCUUCUACGUCUUAUACUAGCACUUCAUGCCAUAAAAAGCUCGAUGCCGGGCCAGCCACCCCAGGGCUCCACCAGGGGCUUAUCAGGUCAGAAGUCUGGGAGACCAGUCACCGAUCCACCAGUCAAGCAUUUAUUAAGCACCGGGCCAGGCACCGCGCUAGGCAUCUCCGGGCGGCCUGGAAAAGCACUGCGGGAAGAGCCUCUCUGAGAAGACAUCCAGCUUCUGUCAGCCCAGGUGCUCAGAGGGAGAGCCCGGGGGCUCAGGGACGGGGGAGUGGGCGAGGAGAAGCCUCUUCUGACACAGCAGCCAUCUUAGAAGGCGGAGGAGCGUAUUGAGAAGGGUCCGAUUAAAUAGGUCGGGGGAAUGUAAUCAAUGAUGCAGGGAGAGGGCAGCCCCCCUGAGACCAGGAGGAAGCCCCAGGGAUGGGAGAGGGAGGGAGGGAGGGAGGGACCGCUGCCCAGUCAGUCCAAGAAAACCAUGAGUGCGACAAAAAGCCAGAGCAGGCUGGGCCUAGAGGGUGGGCCGGCGGCAGGCCUGGAGCCUCCCCCCGAGAUCUGGGGUACACCUGGCCGGGAGAAGGCCGCAGGGCCAGAGCGAGUCUGGGGUUCGGUCCUCGGGCAGGAUCCCCAUUCUCGGCCUUUUCCCUAACGGAGGCCUUUGUGCCAAGGUUCGGGCCGGGUCAGAGGAGCCGGACACUCCGACGUAUCCAGGUGGCUCCUCAAUGUCCCAGGUAUGAGUCAAAGUAGUCAGGGGGCCCGAAUUCAAAUCCUUCCAUCAGGUCAGCGUCCCCAGGCCUCGAGGAUCUGGGGGUCUCCUCCAGUUCAAUUCGAUUGUCUUUUUCUCUGUGUCCCCCUUCUUUUCUGUUUCAAUUAUUGGUUUCUGAGAAAAAUGAUUAGUGACUGAAUAUGGGAUUUCAUAGAAAUUGCUGAGGAACCUGCUGUGGGCCAGGCCCUGGGAUCGCUCUGGGUGUGUGUGUGUGUGUGUGUGUGUGUGUGUGUGUGUGUGUGUGUAUGUGGCGUUCAAGGCUCUCUCUUCUCCAACAUUUCAUUCUCCCCACAUAGUUGGGCUCGCGGGGCUCUCACCGCCCCCCUUGCCCCCAGGCCUUGGCGCUUUCUCAACAGCAUCCUGCUUCCAAAACACUGGCUCGCUGCAUUAUUGGCUGCAAGUCGUGUACGUGGAGAGACUCAGGCCGCCGAGGGAGGGACCUGAGGCCAAGAAGAUGAGUUCGAGUCCAGCCCCAGACGCUUCCUGGCCCUGCGACUCUGGACAAUUCACUGACGUUCUGCCCACCUCAGUUUCCUUCCCUGAUGUUCCCCGUUGCUCCUGCUCGAUUUGCUGUUCCACACACAGACUGCAGAGCAUCCUUCCUCCAUGCCUCUGAGCGGCCUGUCUGCUGUGUCUAGUUCUUUAUCUCAUUUGAUCCUCAAAGCAACCCUGGAAGGUCCAUCUUGUUUCCCUGAAGGUGGAAGUUUUCACGUUUUGGGGAUUUUUUAUCUGCACGGCACAUUGUAAGCGCUUAAUAAAUGCUUGUUGGAUCAAAUGUACGCUCUGGUGUCAUCCUGGGCAGCCCCUUCCCUGUCCCGAGGCCCCGGUGAGCUCCCCUGGGAGAACCCUGGGUCCCACUGAUGCAAAGAAGCUGGGUUCAAAUCCCACCCUGGGCCAGUUGGGGCCUCAGUUUCCAAAUCUGUCAGAUGAGGGAGUAACUUAGAUGCCUCGGGGGGGGGGGGGUUGUAAGGUGGCUGGGAAAUAGAAGCCUCAGCGAAGGAUCUGCUCCCAUAAACAUCUCUCUUCCCUGGAGCCUCCAACAGCUGUUCCCGGAUGCUGCUGGGGACGUCGUGGCUGGGGCGGGAGGCCCAGUCCUGAGACCACAGCCUCGGGGCCCUGUGGGCACAAGCCUCAGUCUCCUGGAAAGGCCCAGCUGCAGCCCCUUCUGGAAGGCCGUCGGAGGCUCGAUCCCCGCCGUCAGCGGCGUCGGGCGGUCCUGAGUUAGUGCUGAUGGUGCCGAACACCACCCAGUGCUCCAGGCAGGGACCCCCCAGACGUCACUGGGGGCACCAACACCCUCGUUGCUGCCCUCGCUCCAAGCCAGGGAGCACAGGGAUGCUGGGGCCUCUCCCUCCCCAGCGGCAGCCGUGCCCCAGGAGGCAGGGAGACCCAAACUCAAACCCUGCCUCGGACACUUAAUGAUCCUGGCCAAAGCACCCAAGUCACCUUCAGAAUGGAGAGAACUGGGCCCCUGUGUCAGGACGAGCAAAUGAGCGAUGUAAGGGGAGCAUUUUCUGGCCUGGGAACCCAGGCAAAUGUUAGCUGCUGCUGCUGCUGCUAAAGCACGU